ACUUGUGCUCUCCCGAUCUCAGUAUCGUAGCCAAUGAGGUUUAUCCAAGGCGCGAUCAUUGCUAAUUGAAAACCAAGUGGAAAAGGGUAAUACUAAAGGGGAAGGAAAACAGUGUCUCCACAUUUUUAUGGAGUUCAGUGAGGCUUUUGCAUUUUCAGGACCAGACCCAUUUUGGUACCAAGAGGAUUGCGCCACUUCUGUGGUGUUGGUGCCUGGAAAAGAUUUGGCGCCUAGGGAAGUGCUGGUCCGGAGAGCCCAGCAUGAUCAGGCAGCAAGGCCUGCUGGGACAUGGAGGGAAGAGACCCAUCGGGACCAGCAGAGGCAGCAGUGAGGCCCUUUCCUGCCAGCUGACAGGCAGUGAAGGCCUAGCAGUGGACAUUGCUGGGAGAGACCAGAGCAGGAGAGGAAGGAAAUGGGUGAUGCCUUGACAGGACAUGUUUCUGAGCCCAGGAGGACAGCUGAGGGAGAGUCCCGGAAAGAAUUAUGGGGAUAAGGUAGAGUUUACACUGAAGAGAUACUACCAUAGCUGAUAAGAGGCAGGGAUGGGAGAUACCUAGGUUGUUACUAUUAUAUGUAACCUCGUUUUAAGUCCUGGGCUUAGAUAACAAGGUUAUUUAUCUUUGUCUGCGUAUAUGCUUCUCCUGUAAAUGCCCUUUCAUAGGUGGAUGGAGCUCAUUACCAAGCAUCCCUGAACACUGUCCCCAUCCUUCCCCAUUGCCUUGACAUUUUGUUUUUUGGUUUUUUUUCUUCAUGUUGUCUCCUUUCCUGCCUACUCUUUUCUUGAUCCCUUGAGUAUAUAUCGAGCCUGAGGACUCAUGAACUCUUCGGCUGCUCUGUUAUCUGUGUCUUCUAUUUCCUCCGAGGUUCCUCUUCAGUCUUCCAUAACCUUCUCUGUCCCUAUCCCUGCUACUAGCAAGGCAUCCCCCCACACCCCUGACACCCCCAUCCCCCACUGCCAUGCCCUCCGGCUUCCUCCCAACACUUAACAUUAGCAAAACAACAACAACAAAAAGAAUAAUUAAGGUGGGUAUAGUGGAUUGACUAGUGGUCCACCCUUUCCACUAAGCAUUGUUUCAUGAAAUUUGGUUUUGGAUUAUGUAUGUAUAUGCGUAUCUACACGUGCACAUGAUUUAAUAUAGGUCACACAGCUCAGCCCAGGCUAAUACCUGGUACCUCAGAAUGGGAUCUUAUUUGGAGGAAAGGUCUUUGCAAAUGUAAUUAGGGUGAGGAUCUUGAGAUGAGGUCAUCCUGGAGCAGAGUGGGCCCUGAAUCCAAUGAUAAGUGCCCUUAUCAGAGGAGAAAAGGAGGUGAGACAGGAAAGAAGGCCAUGUGAACACAGAGGCAGAGAUUAGAGUUCUGUUGAGGUAAACUGAGGAAGGCCACUGGACACUGGAACAGGCAAGGAAGGAUUCUCCCCUCCAGAAGGAGUGUGAUUCUGCUGGAGUCUCCAGAAGGAGUGUGCCUCCAGAAGGAGUGUGACUCUGCUGGACCUUUAAUUUCAGACUUUAGGCUUUUAGAACUGUGAGAAAAUACAUUCUAUUGUUUAAGCCACCAAGUUUGUGGGAAUUUGAUGCAGCAGCCCUGAAAAAUUCAGACAGUGGGAGACCAAACAGCAUGAAAGGAACAUUUAUUUCAAAACUGGUGAAUGUUUUAAAUAGAAAAAAGUAUUGGGGG